ACUAAUGUCAACCAAAAGAAGAUCAUCAAGUUGAGGUUGAAGAAUAAGAAGACGAAUUUAUGCAACCUUAAGAACUAUAAAAAGAUUCUACACAUCCAAAGGUGAAGGAUGAAGUGAAGGAAGAAAAGAUCAUCAGAGAUCCUACCCAAGGAGUGAGGACAAUAGCUUCAUUGACAAACACUUGUCAGUUUGUGGCAUUUUUGUCACAAAUAGAGCCUAAAAAAGUAGAGAAAGGUGUUGACGAUGAGAGUUGGGUAUUUAAAAUGCAAGAAUAAUUAGAUUAAUUUGAGAGAAACAAAGUUUGGGAACUAGUUCUAAGGCUAACGGAUCAUCCUGCCAUUGACACAAAAUGGGUAUACCGAAACAAGACAGAUGAAGUCAGUAUUGUUGUAAGAAGCAAGGUUGGACUAGUUGUUCAAGGCUACUUUCAAGAGAAAGCCAUUUGAUAAAGAUAGGUUUUGCUUCAUAAGAAGGGAGCUUAAGAUGAUCAAUGCAAACCAAGUUGAGACGAGUAGCGAGGUAUGUGGAGGAGUCAGCGGUCUAGAAAAGUUGUUGCAUGAGGGUUGAGACGAGUAGCGAGGUAUGUGAGGGAGCCAAUAAUCUAGUUGAGCUGUUGCAUUAGAGCGAGGGGCAGAAUCAUCAUUUUUAAAAAUUCUCUUAUGUAUGUGUUUUUGUUUCCAUUUAUGCACUGUAGAAAUUCUUAGUUACUUUCAAAUAUUUAUUUUGUAAUAAAGAAAGGUUUUAUUGCAUUUAAAGUAUU